AUCCAAAGAAAACCAAGAUGCAGAAGAUGGCGCCCUUGAACUCGACUGCGCUACUCUGCACAGAUACACGAGUUUCACAAUUAGGGGCACGUUUUUAGGUAAUGCAGUGAAGAAGCAGGGAGGGGCACUAUGGAGGGUAGUGGAAGGGGCUUUUCACAUUAGGGGGGUUUGGUUCUCCUUUAAUAAACUAUAGGCACUGACAUUCAAAUGACUACUUAAUGUACCUGCGGCCAACUAUGCAUCCAAAACAGCUGGUUUAAUAGCACAGAUAUAACUUAAUAAUUCACCUUUCACCCUAGAUAUAAUUGUCCUUCAGGAUGAGAAUUUUGGAGUAUCUCAACACAAAUCUCCCCCUAAUGACUUUCAAACUCUGCCCCACAGAUCUAAAGGUGACAGCGUUUCCCUAUAUUUAAUUUUUACCUCCAACAGAGGUAUGGCAGCUCCCAUUUUCAGGGCAAGGACAAGUCACAGGCAAACUUGGGGCGCAAUUAAGGUUGCCACCUGGCCGGUAUUUUACCGGCCUGGCUGGUAAAAAUUAUGGUUGACCCCAAUGUUAUUAAUAGGGAAACAAGAGAUAUAUAUAGGAAGGGCUGUAUUUUUUUACUAGAAAAGGUGGCAAUGGCAACCCUAGGUGCAAUGGAAUGAGGGUUGGGGGUCAGCGACCCAUGGGGAUACAUGAGCGAGUGAUCAUUACAGGGGUGACACGUGAGCUAUCAUCAUGGAAGGAAGCAAGUGAGCAAUUAGUGGUGGAAUUGGAAGUGUCACACAUUGGGUAUAAACACAUUCUAGUCCAGUGCUGCACAUUUUAAAUGAUAAAAAUAAAUACUACAAUUAUUUCAUGAGACAUCUUUUCCAACUGCCUGUAAUUUCCAGGGCCAGUGGGCUACACCACUACAGGAGAGGAGUGUACAUUUUGCGCCCUCACAGACAGCAACACCGUCACUCCUCCCUCCACAGAACUAAGCCUGACGUCUGCCCUCAAUAACAGCAACGUUCCCAUUGGCCGCAGUCACGUGUUAACAGCGCGACUAAACCUUUUUACGUCAUCUCUACGCGCCGUUUCCUGCCUUCCGAUCACUUCCGCUACCUGAGAAGUAAACAGAAGUAGGGAAUCUGAGUUGGUAUGCCCCGUUGCUAUGGCACCCUACCUAGUUGGCAUGUGCUCUGUGUGUGAGCGUGAGUAAUAAAACCGUAUCCGGAAAACCCCACGUCCCCAGCAUUCUGGAUAACUGGUCCAAUACCUCAAGAAUGUGAAUCACAAGGAAACGUCAGACAACUUCAGAAAACCGAAGCAACACAUAUGCCAUCCCGCUGGCGAUUCUGAUUCUUGAGGCACUUCGGGGAGAUUAUAUCUUGCAGGAGCCAAGGUUUAUCGCAGGCGACUAAAUCUCCCUGUGUGACACCAGCCUUAGGUGUUGCAUUUGGUGCCUGUGUAUCCGCAAACCUACAACCUUUUCUACAGGAGACCCAUUCACAUCAAAGCAGAAUAAUUUAAAGAACCAGUAAAGUCAAAUUUUUUUCAAUUUAUAUUAAAAAAUUGUUUGUAUAGAAUGAAAAAAAAACCACCAAGAC